GAUAUUCGGGUAAUCGGAAUUCAACAACUUUGGCACAAUUGAGAAUUUUUCUUGACAGACUGCACGAGCUGCUGAAAUUUUGCAAAGUUUUAUUCUGUGAAAACUAAAUUAAAAUAAAAAUUAAGCAAAAUGACUAACGCCUGGAGAGCUGCUGGACUUACCUACAUCCAAUACUCCAACAUCUGCGCCCGUGUAGUGCGUCAAGCCUUGAAGGGUGAUUUGCGUGCUGAGGCUGCCAAACGUAACGAAAGCCAUGUCAAAUUCACACCAUGGACUGAUGGCAAACCAGCCCAUGAAAAGUGAGAUCUUUAAAAGUCACCAUUAAGUGUCUUUGAUAAGAACUUUUCUUUAGACAUAUCUUCUCGUGCCCAAGCCAGCGAAUAAAUUUAAUCAUUUGUGUAUUGGUUAAAUAUAAAUUCCAUCAAUUCUUAAUUCAUCGUUAGCAGCAGUUUCCAACAAAUAAAUUUAUUAUAAUUUUCGAAAUGUUAAUGCUAAAAGCAACAACAGAAAUAAAACACAACAAUUAUUAAAAAAACAACAA